ensembl:snRNA U6 U6 spliceosomal RNA
GUGCUCACUUCGGCAGCACAUGUACUAAAAUUGAAAUGAUAAAGAGAAGAUUAUCAUGGCCACUGCACAAGGAUGACAUGCAAGUUCGUGAAGCGGUCAUAUUUUUA